rnacentral:rRNA from 1 species
AGUGAACGCUGGCGGUAGGCCUAACACAUGCAAGUCGAACGGCAGCACAGUAAGAGCUUGCUCUUACGGGUGGCGAGUGGCGGACGGGUGAGGCAUACAUCGGAAUCUACUUUUUCGUGGGGGAUAACGUAGGGAAACUUCCGCUAAUACCGCAUACGACCUACCGGUGAAAUCAGGGGAUCUUCGGACCUUUCGCGAUUGAAUGAGCCGAUGUCGGAUUAGCUAGUUUGCUGGGUAAAGUCCCACCAAGGCGACGAUCCGUAGCUGGUCUGAGAGGAUGAUCAGCCACACUGGAACUGAGACACGGUCCAGACUCCUACGGGAGGCAGCAGUGGGGAAUAUUGGACAAUGGGCGCAAGCCUGACCCAGCAAUACCGCGUGGGUGAAGAAGGCCUUCGGGUUGUAAAGCCCUGUUGUUGGGAAAGAAAAGCAGCAGGUUAAUACCCCGCUGUUCUGACGGUACCCAAAGAAUAAGCACCGGCUAACUUCGUG